GUCACGCUGUAAACGAUGUCGAUUUGGAGGUUGUUCCCUUGAGGAGUGGCUUCCGGAGCUAACGCGUUAAAUCGACCGCUGGGGAGUACGGCCGCAAGGUUAAAACUCAAAUGAAUUGACGGGGGCCCGCACAAGCGGUGGAGCAUGUGGUUUAAUUCGAUGCAACGCGAAGAACCUUACCUACUCCUGACAUCCAGAGAAUUUAGCAGAGAUGCUUUAGUGCCUUCGGGAACUCUGAGACAGGUGCUGCAUGGCUGUCGUCAGCUCGUGUUGUGAAAUGUUGGGUUAAGUCCCGCAACGAGCGCAACCCUUAUCCUUUGUUGCCAGCACAUUAUGGUGGGAACUCAAAGGAGACUGCCGGUGAUAAACCGGAGGAAGGUGGGGAUGACGUCAAGUCAUCAUGGCCCUUACGAGUAGGGCUACACACGUGCUACAAUGGCGUAUACAAAGAGAAGCGACCUCGCGAGAGCAAGCGGGACUCAUAAAGUACGUCGUAGUCCGGAUUGGAGUCUGCAACUCGACUCCAUGAAGUCGGAAUCGCUAGUAAUCGUAGAUCAGAAUGCUACGGUGAAUACGUUCCCGGGCCUUGUACACACCGCCCGUCACACCAUGGGAGUGGGUUGCAAAAGAAGUAGGUAGCUUAACCUUCGGGAGGGCGCUUACCACUUUGUGAUUCAUGACUGGGGUGAAGUCGUAACAAGGUAACCA
rnacentral:rRNA from 1 species